GUUUGCCUGACUGUGAGAGCCACAACUCGAACAGAGACGAAAGUCGGCCAUAAUGAUCCACAAGUGCCGCGUGGAAGGGCUUGUGCUUAACGAAUCAAAGCUACGCUAGGGAUAACAGGCUAAUAUUACCUAAGAGCCCUUAUCGACGGUAAUGUUUGGCACCUCGAUGUUGACUGAUUCCAUCCUGGAGCUGAAGAAGGUUCCAAGGGUUGGGCUGUUCGCCCAUGAAAGGAGUACCUGAGUUG
rnacentral:rRNA from 1 species